GACGAACGCUGGCGGCGUGCUUAACACAUGCAAGUCGAGCGGUAAGGCCCUUUCGGGGGUACACGAGCGGCGAACGGGUGAGCAACACGUGGGUGACCUGCCCUCAGCUCUGGGAUAAGCCUGGGAAACCGGGUCUAAUACUGGAUAUGACUCCAUGACGCAUGUUGUGGGGUGGAAAGCCUUGUGCGGCUGAGGAUGGGCCCGCGGCCUAUCAGCUUGUUGGUGGGGGA
rnacentral:rRNA from 1 species